rnacentral:pre_miRNA from 1 species
UGUUAGAAAUUUUAUCCAUUUGUACUGUUAAAAGCUGGCGUGAUUAACGAAAUAUUCAAGAAGUGACACAUGGCGUGUUAUAUGUACCUCAUGCUGUCAUACAAUGAUCAAAUUUUAACAAUAGAUUUUGAUGUAAUUUUUAACA